rnacentral:lncRNA from 1 species
CCCGUUGGCUAUGUAGUCCUUUUCUUCUUUUGCAAAUCUUAGUGUCUUUCUACUAUUCAAUGAUAACAUAUAAGCCACUGGCCAUUGUGAGCAGGGAGGACCACCCCCACACUGCCAUUGGCAAGAACGUGGGUGUCCACAGUCCACAGUGAUGCCGAAGGCCAUGACCUCAGCGUCUCCUCUCUGUCUUCUAACACAGGUUAAUCUAGAUCCAGUUCUUUCUGACCUGGAGGCCAGAUUGCCCCGCACCGGGCAUGGAUGCUGCCAGCUCCUUUCUGAAGAAGGCUCCCAUCAUGGACUAGGGACCAGCAGCUCUCCAGGAAAC